rnacentral:rRNA from 1 species
UACAGAGGUCCCGAGCGUUGUUCGGAUUCAUUGGGCGUAAAGGGUGCGUAGGCGGCGGGGUAAGUUUGAUGUGAAAUCCCGGGGCUCAACCCUGGAAUGGCAUUGAAUACUGCCUUGCUAGAGUACCGGAGAGGAAACUGGAAUUUACGGUGUAGCAGUGAAAUGCGUAGAGAUCGUAAGGAAGUCCAGUGGCGAAGGCGAGUUUCUGGACGGUAACUGACGCUGAGGCACGAAGGCCAGGGGAGCAAACGGG